rnacentral:rRNA from 1 species
GACGAACGCUGGCGGCGUGCUUAACACAUGCAAGUCGAACGAUGAAGCCGGAGCUUGCUCUGGUGAAUUAGUGGCGAACGGGUGAGUAACACGUGAGUAACCUGCCCUUGACUCUGGGAUAACUGCGGGAAACUGUAGCUAUACCGGAUACGACCCUCGGAGGCAUCCCCCGGGGGUUGAAAGAAAUUCGGUCAAGGAUGGACUCGCGGCCUAUCAGCUAGUUGGUGAGGUAAAGGCUCACCAAGGCGACGACGGGUAGCCGGCCUGAGAGGGUGACCGGCCACACUGGGACUGAGACACGGCCCAGACUCCUACGGGAGGCAGCAGUGGGGAAUAUUGCACAAUGGGCGCAAGCCUGAUGCAGCGACGCCGCGUGAGGGAUGACGGCCUUCGGGUUGUAAACCUCUUUCAGCACAGACGAAGCGCAAGUGACGGUAUGUGCAGAAGAAGGACCGGCCAACUACGUGCCAGCCGCCGCGGUAA